GGUCUUGUAGUUCAACGGAUAGAAUAGAAGUUUCCUAAACUUUUGAUCCAAGUUCGAUUCUUGGCAGGACCA
rnacentral:tRNA from 5 species